GCGAUAUACUCCUCAGAGCAGGGCGCCUGGACUUAGGAUCCAUUGGGGCAACCCGUCCGGGUUCGAGUCCCGGCUUUCGCA
rnacentral:tRNA from 1 species